rnacentral:rRNA from 1 species
AUUUCAGUUUGCUUGCAAACUGGAGAUGGCGACCGGCGCACGGGUGAGUAACGCGUAUCCAACCUGCCGAUAACUCGGGGAUAGCCUUUCGAAAGAAAGAUUAAUACCCGAUGGCAUAAUUAGACCGCAUGGUCUUAUUAUUAAAGAAUUCCGGUUAUCGAUGGGGAUGCGUUCCAUUAGGCAGUUGGUGAGGUAACGGCUCACCAAACCUUCGAUGGAUAGGGGUUCUGAGAGGAAGGUCCCCCACAUUGGAACUGAGACACGGUCCAAACUCCUACGGGAGGCAGCAGUGAGGAAUAUUGGUCAAUGGACGAGAGUCUGAACCAGCCAAGUAGCGUGAAGGAUGACUGCCCUAUGGGUUGUAAACUUCUUUUAUAUGGGAAUAAAGUUUUCCACGUGUGGAAUUUUGUAUGUACCAUAUGAAUAAGGAUCGGCUAACUCCGUGCCAGCAGCCGCGGUAAUACGGAGGAUCCGAGCGUUAUCCGGAUUUAUUGGGUUUAAAGGGAGCGUAGGUGGACAGUUAAGUCAGUUGUGAAAGUUUGCGGCUCAACCGUAAAAUUGCAGUUGAUACUGGCUGUCUUGAGUACAGUAGAGGUGGGCGGAAUUCGUGGUGUAGCGGUGAAAUGCUUAGAUAUCACGAAGAACUC